rnacentral:rRNA from 1 species
UACAGAGGGUGCAAGCGUUGUUCGGAAUUACUGGGCGUAAAGCGCGUGUAGGCUGCGGAGUAAGUCGGAUGUGAAAUCCCUUGGCUUAACCAAGGAAGUGCAUCCGAUACUGUUUCGCUUGAGUGUCGGAGGGGAUGGCGGAAUUCCCGGUGUAGAGGUGAAAUUCGUAGAUAUCUGGAGGAACACCGGUGGCGAAGGCGGCAUCCUGGACCGAUACUGACGCUGAGGAGCGAAAGCCAGGGGAGCAAACGGG